rnacentral:tRNA from 1 species
GUAGCUCAGUUGGUAGAGCAGAGGACUGAAAAUCCUCGUGUCGGUGUUAGUAGCAGUUCACAUAGUUAACCUAAUCGAUCUUUCGUAAAUAAUCAAGACCCCCCAUGUACUUUUUUUGUAUAAGGGUGGACAUAAGUCGAAAAAACACCGAUCAAACCUAAGCCUGACCA